GUAGGUGGCAAGCGUUGUCCGGAAUUAUUGGGCGUAAAGCGCGCGCAGGCGGUUCUUUAAGUCUGAUGUGAAAGCCCACGGCUCAACCGUGGAGGGUCAUUGGAAACUGGAGAACUUGAGUACAGAAGAGGAAAGCGGAAUUCCACGUGUAGCGGUGAAAUGCGUAGAGAUGUGGAGGAACACCAGUGGCGAAGGCGGCUUUCUGUCUGUAACUGACGCUGAGGCGCGAAAGCGUGGGGGAGCAAACAGGAUUAGAUACCCCGGUAGUCCACGCCGUAAACGAUGAGUGCUAAGUGUUAGGGGGUUUCCGCCCCCCUUAGUGCUGCAGCUAACGCAUUAAGCACUCCGCCUGGGAGUACGGCCGCAAGGCUG
rnacentral:rRNA from 1 species